rnacentral:pre_miRNA from 1 species
AUACACAUACGUGUAUACACGUGUGUGUAUAUAUGAUAUACACAUACGUGUAUACACGUGUGUGUAUA